rnacentral:rRNA from 1 species
GCGCGAAAACUUUACAAUGCUGGCAACAGCGAUAAGGGAACCUCGAGUGCCAGGUUACAAAUCUGGCUGUCGAGAUGCCUAAAAAGCAUUUCAUAGCAAGGGCCGGGCAAGACCGGUGCCAGCCGCCGCGUUAACACCGGCGGCUCGAGUGGUAACCGUUAUUUUUGGUUUAAAUGGUCUGUAGCCGGCCGGAUAAGUUUUUUGAGAAAUUUGGGAGCUUAACUGUCAGGCUUUCAGGAGAUACUGUCUUGCUUGAGGGCGGGAGAGGUGAGAGGUACUUCAGGGGUAGGGGUGAAAUCAUGUAAUCCUUGAAGGACCACCAGUGGCGAAGGCGUCUCACCAGAACGGACCUGACGGCAAGGGACGAAAGCUAGGGGCACGAACCG